GCGGGCGGAGGAAGGAGAAGGAAAGGACCGGAAUCAGGUUUAUUUUUCUCCUGUCUCAUUUUUCCUGCAUUCUCCAAAUUCAAUUAUUCCUGGCCUCAUCCAGGCUGCUGCGUUGAGAACAAACAACACAGGAGUAAGGCAAAAGCAAGAGACCACCAGACAGACGGUUCUCGCAGUAACCAAGCAAGGGAUGAUGGCGGCGUGAACCACAGGGAGAGCAGAGGAGAGGUCGUCAAUUAAAUUAUUUCUACAAUACUGUAUCCGUCCACAGAAUGUUACGCAAUAUUCAUGCACGUUGCUUCAGCUACACAGAAUCCCUGGAAAAUAAAUGAGGGCGGGCAGGAGAACCUAAGAGAUCCAGUAAAAUAAGAAGGGGUUUACAAUAAGUCCUGUCAAAAUUGCCCCCAAGAUGAUGCUUUUGUUAUCACUUAAGAAACAGCAAUGUCUUCAUUCUCGUGGUUUGAAAUGAUUCCAUACCAUAUGAAGGAGGUCUCCCAGAGCCAUUUCUUGGAACAGUUCACCACGCAGGUUUGGAGGAAUUUUGAACUUGGACCCUGAAUCAAGUUGGCCUCAUUUGCAAUAGACUGAGCUGACGGGCCCCAGCUUCUGAGAUGCUGGCGUGUCACUAGUUCCCUCCAUUCAGUAACAGUAGCCAGACAGAGAACCAGAGAGUCCGUUACCGGUCAAGUCCUCAGUCGGUCUUCACUGAUGGCUCCCCAGGAGUUCUGCAGCCCCAACGCCCCUGGCACCGAGAAGAGGAAAGCAGCGGAUGGCCCUGGAAUCAGUGAUCCAGCCAAGAUGCAUCGCUGCAGGAGGAUAAACGGAUUGAAUCAGUAAUUUCUAUCUCUGCCUGUCCUGAUAGGAACCUGGGAGGGCAGAGGAGCAGGGGGAAGGGAAAAUCCACCAGCCUGGAGCAGGGAGGCAGGAGCUAAGCCCACCCUGAGAAGAAAACAAGAAAAACACCCACAUAAGGAGAUGAGGGCGGAAAGAAGAAAAGUGCGCUAAGUACGCCAAGUGCCUAGGAAUUGUCCUCACCCAAGAGGGCCACGCUGGAAGCAAUCUGCAAUAGAAGGCCUGCUCCUCCUCCUCUGGAGCCUGGAAUUAUCAGCUCUUGUUCUGCACAUGGGGAUUGCUAGGGGCUGGGAAAUGGCCCAAUCCGUCUCCACAAAGCCUGCUGCUCCCUGUGCCUCUGGCUUAUAAGGCACUGGCCACGAGCCACAGGGCACCCAUUGGAAGGCCAACUCUGGUACUUUCUCAGCAAUGUGGCCACAGGGUGGCCUUCAACCACCAGCCGGAAAUCCAGUAGGAGUCUGCUCCAGGCACGAUCAGGAAGCAGAGGGCCCCCGGGGACACCCCUCCUCACCACUCAUCUUCUCCAUCUUCCUUUCCCUUAUGCCUCACCUAGGACCCUCCGCUUUAUCCCGGUCAUCUAUGUCCCAGCCCUCUUUGAUGACACAGUCUUCUUGCCACACUCUACCCACACCUGUAUCACAGUUAGAAGAUAUCACUUGCGGGUCCCAAUCCUUCUAGGCUUUGCCAUCUGCAAACAAAGCAUGCCGAGGGGUGCUGGGAGAAUGGAUAGAGCCUUUGACAGUGUAUGCCAUGUCUCCAUCAAUUUAGAACACUUUAGAAGACAAUGCUCUUAAUCUGAAACCAUAGGUCAGAUUUUCUGGGCCCCAGGGAAGGUUAUUUGAAGGAGACUUGGGAGAGAAGCAAGUAUGGUACAUCUGCUACCGUCCCAUCAAUGACAGAGGGCCACUCUAGUCACUCACAGGACUCACACAGCCUAACCCGGGGACUUGAGGGCACGUUGCAGCAAUGGAAACACACCGAGGGAAGGAGCCUUCAGUCAGGAAAGCUGUUGGUGGUUUGAGCAGUGGAGGUACAGAGUAGGAACAGAUGAAGCAGGAGGCGGCCUGGCUCCAUUUCUAAAUCACAGUGGAGCCCACAGUUCUGCCUCUUUGUUUUUCAAUUCAAUUCACCAAAAAAGUUUUAAGAAUUUGUAUGCACAAGGUCCUGGUCUUGCAUCUGGAGACAUGAGAUGAAUAAGACAUAGUCUCUGACCCUGAGAACCACAGAGUCUAGUGGGAGAAACAGACACAAGGAGAAGUAGCCACGAUACAAAGGGAGUGGUGGUUAGGACUAAACUGAGAUGCAGACACACGGGGCUGGGGCUCAGAGGUCAGCCGCUGAUCUGGCCGGCGGAGGAACUUGCAGACAAAGGCAUCUGAACUGGGCUUUGAGAAUAAGAAACGCAAAAGCCUUGUCACUCUUUGAACACUUGAAACAGACUCAGCUUUUGACAUGCAUUACUCCAGAGAAUCAUGGCAGCACUGUGAGGGGGGCCUGACGCCCACUUUACACACGAGGAAGCCAAGCCUCAGAGAGGGUGAGCAGCUCAGCUGAGGCACAGCCCAGGCGAGAGCCAAACCAAGGCUCUGUCUCCAGAGCUCGGAGCACAGAGACCAAGAGAAUAGCAGGAGCAAAGGCCCUGAGGUUAGAAAGUGCAUGGCGGGUUUGGGAGGGGAAGGCGAGCAAGUUUGCUAUGGCUGAAGUUUCCAGGGUGUGGCUUGGGAUGGGGGCAUGAUGUGGAGAGGGUUGAGACAGUGUCACCUGGCAGAAGAGGAGGGCCUCUGCAGCCCGCUGCAUGGGCUUAUGUCUGGUUCUACCACCUCCAGCUGUGGAACCUCACAUAAGUUGCUCACCUUUCUAUGCCUCAGUUUCCUCAUCCAUCAAAGGGGGAUAAUACAUAGCACCCCCUCAUAGAGUUGUUGGGGGAAUAAAUGAGCUAGCACAUGUAAUAUCACAGGACAGGGCUGGCGCAUAGUCAAUGCUAUCUGAGAUUAUUAUUAUUAUCAUUACCAUUAUUAUUGAGAGAGGCAGUGUAGACUCUGGCUUAGAGGGUGCAUUUUGGAGCCAGCCGGCCUAGUUCAAACCCUGGCUCCACCACUUACUGACUUGUGACCUUGGUCAAUCUACGUCACAUUUUUGGGCCUCAGUUUGCUCGGCUCUAAAAUAGGACAAUAGUGCCUGUCUCAUAAGACUGUCGGAAGGCCUCAAGGAGACACCGUUUGCAAAAACAGCAAGACUGGCUCCACAUUCGAAGUUAUUUCCUGAAUCAUGCUCUCACUUCUAUUCUGUUGGCUUGCUGGUUAUAGGCUGAAAAGUUUCUUUGCAAUCAGUUGUGGAAGUGUCCUCAUGGGAAAUUCAAUAAAAAGUUCAGCAAAAGAACUGUAAAUUCUUAAUUGUGAGGGAUUAAUAAGGCUUUAUUAUGGUAAAUUUACCUCACGCAUGAUUUAAUAGGUCAAAACUACAUUUUGUAAUUAAAAACCUAAGAAAUCAUGCACACUGAGGCUUAUAACACACAUUUUAGUCUGAAACAGCUAACUCAGGAAACCAUAAAGACAAAGUAGUGUAUACAAAUCAUGGCUUGGGAAGAGGCGAGGUUUAGGAGGCAAGGUGAGAUAUCUGGGGAUUUAUAUCAGGCCCCUCAAUAGGGGUUCUCAACCCCUUGACAGUUGAACUGUUCAACCAGCCCCAUUUUACAGAUAAUGGGUCCAAAGCAAAAGGAAAACAAACGCAUGAAAUAGUGGCCCCACCAAUGUUGACGCCCAGCCUCAGUUUUCAGGUUGGUACCCAGCCUCCUGCCUUCCCACAGUCGCUUGAGCAAAGACUUCAAAAGAGAUGCUAACCCUACAUGCCUGCAUUUGAACCUGCAGAUCUGGCCUCAAUUUGUAUUAGAGCUAUGCAUCCUUUUUGCUUCAGUGGUGAGACAGGAAAAACUGCAGUGAAGUUCUAGAAGAUUCUCAAGGUACCACAGAGCGUAUUUCAAUCAGAAGACAGCACUGCGUAGUGGUUAGGUAGACAGACAGACCUGGGAUGGAGGCUGAUGCGCUGCUGGGUGGGACCUGGAGCAAAUCCCGUCAGCUCUCUGAGCUAUGUGCAAAAGUUUCUUCUUUUGUAAAAUGAACGUAAUAAUAGUUCCUCCCUCUUAGAGCUGUUUGGAGGACUGAAUAACAUUGUAAAGCCCUGUGCCUGGCACACAGUAAAGGGUCAGGAGGAAGGGGAUGGAGAGAGGAAAACCCUAAAAUCUGCAUUACUCUUUGCCUUGUCCCGAAUCACAAAGACGUUUUCUCUUCUGAAAAAGAGAUGCCUUUUCUGAGUUAGAAAACAAUAAUUUAAAAAUUCAACAAGUUAUCUAAUAAGUUUUUCUCUUUGGCAUGAAGUUUAGAAUUUCACUUAAUAUUGUGCCUGGCAUUUCUCUUCAAAUUGGAAAAGUUUGUGUCUAAGUUAUUUUUGGAAAGAAAAAUGAAGCAAUAGAUUAAUUGAUUUGAAAGCUUUGGCUGUAAAACACCUACAAGUUGGCUUUCUACUUGUUUUGGUUUUAAAUCACAUUUAGAAGCAUAUAUUUACGUGUUUAUGUGUAUAUACGUUUUAUGUAUAUUUAUGUGUCUAGUUUGGUGUCAUGGAGUUUCAAUUUCUUUGUUCAUAUGCAAACAAGAAGA
ensembl:lncRNA